AACCUUUAAAAUGAAAUCGCUGCUGA
rnacentral:piRNA from 1 species